GCCAGUCUAGUGUAGUGGUUUGAGUGCUAGACUGUGAAUCUGGAGACCAGGGUUUGAUUCCCAGCUCAGACA